UACUCCUACGGGAGGCAGCAGUGGGGAAUUUUGGACAAUGGGCGCAAGCCUGAUCCAGCCAUGCCGCGUGAGUGAAGAAGGCCUUCGGGUUGUAAAGCUCUUUCAGCCGGAAAGAAAACGCACGGGUUAAUACCCUGUGUGGAUGACGGUACCGGAAGAAGAAGCACCGGCUAACUACGUGCCAGCAGCCGCGGUAAUACGUAGGGUGCGAGCGUUAAUCGGAAUUACUGGGCGUAAAGCGUGCGCAGGCGGUUUUGUAAGACAGAUGUGAAAUCCCCGGGCUUAACCUGGGAACUGCAUUUGUGACUGCAAGGCUAGAGUACGGCAGAGGGGGGUAGAAUUCCACGUGUAGCAGUGAAAUGCGUAGAUAUGUGGAGGAAUACCGAUGGCGAAGGCAGCCCCCUGGGUCGAUACUGACGCUCAUGCACGAAAGCGUGGGGAGCA
rnacentral:rRNA from 1 species